UUGAACGCUGGCGGAAUGCUUUACACAUGCAAGUCGAGCGGCAGCGCGGGGGCAACCCUGGCGGCGAGCGGCGAACGGGUGAGUAAUACAUCGGAACGUGUCCUUGAGUGGGGGAUAGCUCGGCGAAAGCCGGAUUAAUACCGCAUAAGCUCUGCGGAGGAAAGCGGGGGACUGGUAACGGCCUCGCGCUGUUGGAGCGGCCGAUGUCGGAUUAGCUAGUUGGUGGGGAAAGGCCCACCAAGGCGACGAUCCGUAGCUGGUCUGAGAGGAUGAUCAGCCACACUGGAACUGAGACACGGUCCAGACUCCUACGGGAGGCAGCAGUGGGGAAUUUUGGACAAUGGGGGCAACCCUGAUCCAGCCAUUCCGCGUGAGUGAAGAAGGCCU
rnacentral:rRNA from 1 species